AAAUUGAAGAGUUUGAUCAUGGCUCAGAUUGAACGCUGGCGGCAGGCCUAACACAUGCAAGUCGAGCGGCAGCGGGAAAGUAGCUUGCUACUUUUGCCGGCGAGCGGCGGACGGGUGAGUAAUGCCUGGGGAUCUGCCCAGUCGAGGGGGAUAACUACUGGAAACGGUAGCUAAUACCGCAUACGCCCUACGGGGGAAAGCAGGGGACCUUCGGGCCUUGCGCGAUUGGAUGAACCCAGGUGGGAUUAGCUAGUUGGUGAGGUAAUGGCU
rnacentral:rRNA from 1 species